UUGAUUCUUUGUGUGUUAGGAAACUGGGGUAUGAACUACCAGCAUAUUUUACAGUCCUAUCUAACAGAAAAAGUUUCCUGACAUAACUUGGUCCUUCGAGCUGGAUCAACAAAAUCCAAGACAUUAUUGGAAAACCGGGAGGUCAUCGCAAAAAUCCAUGCAUGGUCUGAGACAACACCUCAGCACUGAAAAGCCGGCUUGAGGCUUCGGUGGUUUUCAUGGAUCCAGCGGUGCUUGGUGACGUCGAUCCCAAGAUAAAGAAUUACUGUGCGCAGUGAAAAACCUGGACAUGACCAGAAGAUUCAGGUUGGCGACCUGGUGUUCCUAAAAGCCACACAGAGAACAAAGUGGUCUGACCCACGGUGGAACGGUCCCUACAAGGUCUUUCUGACGACCCCAACCGCAGUCCAAAUUGCUGAACGACCCUCCUGGAUUCAC